GAUGAACGCUGGCGGCGUGCUUAACACAUGCAAGUCGAACGAAGUGUUUAUUCAAAGUUCUUCGGGAUAGAGAAUAAAUUCCUUAGUGGCGGACGGGUGAGUAACGCUUGGGUAACCUGCCUCACACAGGGGGAUAACAGAUGGAAACGCCUGCUAAUACCUCCUAAGACCACAGCACGGCAUGGUGCCGGGGUACAAGAUUUAUCGCUGUGAGAUGGACCUGCGUCUGAUUAGAUAGUUGGCGGGGUAGAGGCCUACCAAGGCAACGAUCAGUAGCCGGUCGGAGAGGAGGAUCAGCCAGACUGGAACUGAGACAGGGGCGAGACGCCUGAGGGAGGCAGCAGUGGGGAAUAUUGGACAAGGGGCGCAAGCCGGAUCCAGCCAUAGCGCGUGGGUGAAGAAGGCCUUAGGGGUGUAAAGCCAUUUUGUUGGGAAAGAAAAGCAGCAGGUUAAUACCCCGCUGUUCUGACGGUACCCAAAGAAUAAGCACCGGCUAACUUCGUG
rnacentral:rRNA from 1 species